ensembl:lncRNA
GCCAAAACCAGCGCACACACACAUAAUCUCCUUUGUAGCUGAACAUUGUGUGCCCGAAGAGGAUUCUACGAUGACGGACAGACAACUGAGCCAAUGGCGGAAGACUACAGACUACACCCCAGCUGAACCAAUCCAAAGAUCCGAUCUUCCAGAAUCAACCUACUUUCUGUUCUAUAUAUAAGUGGUGUACUGAUUGUAACGGUCUCUUUGCCUGCAGUUCCGUACGAACCAGCGGAGGAGCCGUAUUUACGCUGUUCUAGAUAUCUUCACUCUGAAUAAACUGUCGCUUGUCAUACAAUUUACCACCUUGUCUGAAUCGAUCCUUGACCGACUCGCCCGUCUACAUAUCUAAUUUCUAACAGAACUUGGUAGGCAGAGGAUAGUUUACUAACGAUCCAGUCGAAGUGAGUUGAUUUGGGUGUGAGAGGGCGAGUUGGUGAAAGGACGGUUCACGGAGGACGGGUGAAGACUUUCGGGGGAGGACAACAAUUCUGCUCAACUCGGAAAACUGAUCUCAAGGUGCACCAUAAAAAAGCUCUUUCCAAACAGAUACACAAAGUCCAUGAGGGGGAGCUGACGGGAGAUCCGGAGCAACUGAGGGUAAAGGUCGGAGACUGGGUAAGGAUCAAGGUCCACAAGAGAAAGUGGCAGGAUCCCAGGUGGACUGGACCGUACGAAGUGAAGGAGGUUACUUCACACUCGGUCCAGGUCAAAGGUAAAUCAGGGGCGCCUUGGCACCACUUGACUCAUUGUGCACCAGCUUCGAUACCCAAUAGAACACUGACAGAGGUCAGGGUCGACUUGAGCGACUUGAAUUCGGCUCCAAUACAACCCGAUUAGCAGGUGACGAUGUGGACCAGACUCCCAUCAGCAUCGGCUAAUAGGCCUCCUAGAGACAGGGGUUAUCCCUGGACUAGACUGGGCAUAUCUGGCCCCGGUUUAUUUGUGUGUUUGUAAAUGCAUAUGUCUACUGAAUGAUAUAUUGAACGAAUGUUUAGACAAUGUUUUAGAUGUGUUGACUAUAUUGAGUGAAUGUUCAAACGAUGUUUUAGAUGUGCUCUGGCGUAAAUGAAGAUUUGUGAGACUCAAAUCGUGUGCAUGAAAUAUGCUUGAUAUUCAGUCGGGGACUAAUAUCGGUAUGAAUGAGGUCGGGGACCAAGCGAGUGUGGUACAUUAGGUAUUUCAGUUGGAGCUGGUACCGGUGAGUGUUGAAAAAGUCGCAGGCUUGCUGAUGAGAGUUAUAUCAUAGAAUAUUGAGGGGGUGUGCAUGACUGUUGGAAAAAGUGUUCAACUCUAUUAACGUGAAAUUCUUUUUGUAGAUUUGGGGAGACAAUUUGGAGAAACACGAAUAAGACAUGAAACAUCGAGACAAAUUAUUUGAGUUUGAGGGGAUUAUCAUAAUUAUUAGGUUUUGUUUAUGUAGUACAUGUUUGGGUUAAGGGGAUUUCCAUGUUCCCAGAGACAUGAUAUUUUAAAGAGGCACGCUCACAUAUGGAACCUUUAUGAGUUUUUAUUUUAUGAGUUUUAAUUACACAAGUGAUUUUUAUUUUA